rnacentral:rRNA from 1 species
AACGAACGCUGGCGGCAGGCUUAACACAUGCAAGUCGAGCGCCCCGCAAGGGGUGCGGCAGACGGGUGGGUAACGCGUGGGAACGUACCUUUUGGUUUGGAACAACUCCGGGAAACUGGUGCUAAUACCGGAUUAGCCCUAACGGGGAAAGAUUUAUCGCCGAAAGAUCGGCCCGCGUCUGAUUAGCUAGUUGGUGAGGUAACGGCUCACCAAGGCGACGAUCAGGAGCUGGUCUGAGAGGAGGAUAAGCCACGCUGGGACUGCGACACGGCCCAGACUGCGAGGGGGGGCAGGAGUGGAGAGUAUAGGGCGAGGAGCGCAAGCCUGACCCAGCCAUGCCGGGUGAGUGAUGAAGGGCUUAGGAUUGUAAAGCUGUCUUGUCCGGGAAGAGAAUGACUGUACCGGAAAAAUAAGCCCCGGCUAACUUCGUG